UGGCAUGGGCUGAUGAUUUAUGAGGCAGUGAUUCUUUCUUCUUGUCCAAAGAGCAGUCUUUUAUUUUAUGAUCCAAAUUUCCACAAGCAAAAUAGGCUCCAGUCACCUACAAAUACAAACUUAUUUCAUAAUUUAACUCACAUCGUACACAGGAUUGAAUCUUUUGUGGUGACUUCCCUUGUUAAAUCGAUGAUGUCUUGACCCUCUUGUUAUCACAAUCUAAUUCAUUUCUAAUUUUUUUUUUUUUUGUAAACUUGUCCUUGCUAUUCCUGUUCUUGAUCUCUAGAAAUUCUUUUGAUCAUCAGAACAAUUUCGUACAUCAAAUAUCUUCUCCAAUCGCAUCAUCUAUUUUUUUUUUGCUACAAAU
rnacentral:lncRNA from 1 species